AAAAAACUCGACUACAAUUUGUCAUUGCCUGAAAAAUGUAAAUAUAUUUUAUGAUAAAAUCGCUAUGCCUUCAAAUAAUUUCACAUUUUAAAAAUGCUUUUCCAACUCCAGCGAUGUAAUAUGCAAUACUAAUUAAUUGCCAGAGUCUCUAUUUUAUAACAAGUUAAUUUUUUUCCAUUUUAAGGAUAAAUUUACCUUAAAAAUUUGCACUUUUUGAUUGCCCUUUAAAUAUUUUUGUCUCUUGUUUUUGCUUCGCUUCAUCUUUAAAAAUCCCGCUUCAUCCGCGUAUUUCGCACGCUCGCGCCAGUCUCCCGUGCAUCACACAUGGAUCAGGCAAAUAUUAGCGCGUUUCACCGCCCGUGUUUUACUACGCCCUGCAUUAAUUAAGUAUUUUCCGCGUUUGACGUCAAUAAUUAAUAAGAAAGGUCUCGUUGAAUGCGUGAAAAUAGUAAAGAUGAUGUCCACUCCUGUGCCCAUGCGCGA